rnacentral:lncRNA from 1 species
UGAUUGCAAACAAAUGUUGUUAUUUCUAUUAUGGAUUCGAUUAUGGUUGUGCAUGGGUUGUUUAACAUAUGAGCAAAGUGUGGUUAGAUAUUGGUUUAAAAUACAAUAAUUAUUUGUUGGUUCAGCAUGAUUGUGUUGUGUUGAUUGUGGUUAAUGAUUAAAACUACCUAUAAUAAUCAUUACUUGGUAGGAAUUGUGGAUGAGGUUUUAUGUAUUUAUUUUGUUUAUCUCAAUAUGAUUGUGUUGAAUGAAGAUUUUAUAAUGUAAAAUUCACUUUUAAUAUAAGGAGCACAGUGUUCCUGGGAUGGUUAAGUGAAAUUUUUGAAAUGUAGAAUUCACUGUUAAUGUAAGCUGAAGAUUGGAGUAUAUAGAAAAUCGAUUGGACGGAAUCGGUUCAUUGUUGAUAUUUGCAAGCAUGAAAAGCUUUUGCACCAAAGGUAUUAUUACUAGAAGUAGAAUUUGUCCUUUUGUGUUUUUGACUGAAUGAUAUAUAGUAUUGAUGCAAAUGUAUUAACUUUUUGGGAAUUUUUUUAUAGGUUAUUAUACUAAUUUUUGCAAGAUUGCUCAAUUUAAAAAGUAUUCAGUUCCAAUGGGACAUGAUAUACUACUUAUCUUAUUAGUUUUUUUUACAGUUAUGUGUUUAAACUGAGUAAACAGGUUUGGAAAGAACAAUACCAACUUCUACCGGAACAUGGAAGCACCGCUCCACUUGACUCUCCUACUUUAAGGUAAAAAUAUCUUAUCAUUCUAUUAAUUUUUAAAUUUAAUAUUUGAUAUAACCACCAAAAUAGAGAAAAAGAAGGGUGGAUGUAAGAGAGUUAUUGGAUUUUGAAUUUGGAAGUUAGAGAUUUGGAGAGAGAUGGAAGGGAGGGCUAGGUCUAGGUCAUAGAUUAUUUUUUAUAGGUUCUAAAUAUAAAUUUAUAAGUAUUAUAUAUAUUUAUAUUUAUAUUUAUUAUAAAUAUCUAAAUAUAUGUAUUUAUAUUUAAGAGUAGCGUAAAUUAUAAUCAAUAAAAAUUAAAUUAAUAGUACAAAAUAGUCCAUCAGUGCACAUUAGUUGUUGAUCCAAAAAGCAACUGCAUAAAAUAAUAGUUUUUUCAAGUAUUCAAAAAAGGGAAAAAGCAAUUUUACCCCACUGUGGUUGUAGUGUUUUAAGCAAUUACCCACUGUACUUUUAAAAUAUUCAAUUAGCCCACUGUACUUUUUAAAAAUGUUCAAUCAAGCAAUUUCGUCCAAUUUCUUGGACGGACGUCAAAUAAUUACACACGUGGCAUUGAAAAAAAUUUCAAAAAAUCAAUAUUUUCUGAUGUGGCAACACAAAAAAAUAAUAAAAUAAAAUCAUUGAUAAAAUAAAAAUUUUAAUUCAUUUUUUAAUAAUUUUUUCAUUUCCUAUUUUCUUUCUCCUUCAAAANNNNNNNNNNNNNNNNNNNNNNNNNNNNNNNNNNNNNNNNNNNNNNNNNNNNNNNNNNNNNNNNNNNNNNNNNNNNNNNNNNNNNNNNNNNNNNNNNNNNUAUAUAUGUUUUUAUAUACAAUAAUAGAGCACUCUGACUACUAAUUAAGAGUAGCAUAAAUUAUAAACAAUAAAAAUCAAAUUAAUAGUACAAAAAAGUCCAUCAGUGCAUAAUAGUUGUUGAUCCAAAAAGCAACAACAUAAAAUAACAGUUUUUUCACCCUUGGCUAAAGAGAACCCAUGGUCAUGAUCAUACCAACAACUGUCGCUGAGACUCAGCUCAAUAAAUAAUCCACAUCACUUGUAACAUUACAGGUCAUGAUUAUACCGAAUAAUCUCUGGUCAUAAUCAUACCAAUCAACAGUCCAUCUAUGCACUACGGGCCAAAGAUAACUUUCAUUACAAUAUAAACAUGAGGAUGAUGACAAUGAUAUAAAAAUUCAAUCAAACGAGAUCUAGGAUAAAUAUUAAAGACUUUAAAUUUAUCCAGAGUUUAAAAAUGUCCAAAUUGUCAACACGAUACUGCUUUGUGGAGUAAAAUUUAAGAAUAAUAUUCACGUAUCAAAAAUAAUUUGGGCAGAAAAGAAUCAAUUUUUCAUCGUGAAUAGUACUCCGGGUGAAUAGUAUUUGAGUGAAUAGUACUUCGUAUAUAGUACCCCGUGAAUAGUAUUUCAUGAAUAGUACCUCGUGAAUAGUACCCGUGUAAAUAGUCCCCCGAAUGAAUAGUACUCUGAGUGAAUAGUACCCGAGUGAAUAGUACGCUGACAUAAAUAGUAUCCCGUUAUUUAAUAAGAAAGUUUAGACCAAUAGUGAAAAUACUAGAUGAAGCACAAACUAUUAUGAAUAUUCCUCUAAUUUCAAGGGUUUUCACCAUUUAAUAAUAAGGUUAUGGAAACAAACAAUAAAUUUGUACCAUAAAUGGAGAAAUACGAAAGAAGACGAUAUCUCUUGAUGAGUACAAAAGAAAUGACAUCUCAUACGAGUAUAAAAGAAUAUACAAAACUGCAAAUGGAUUUUCACCCGUCAUGCGGUAAUUCAUGUAGACAAACUAUUUUUAUAAUUUAAUAAAGAAUGACUACGAAGGGUCAUUCACCAUGCAUGCAGUAGUCCGCGUAGACAGGUUACUCCCGCAGAUUAAUAAAGAAUGAAUACGAAGGGUCAUUCACCAUGCAUGCGGUAGUCCGCGCAGACAGGUUACUCCCGCAGAUUAAUAAAGAAUGAAUAGGAAGGGUCAUUCACCAUGCAUACGGUAGUCUGCGUAGACAUGUUACUCCCGCAGAUUAGUAAAGAAUAUAAUGACAACCCUUAUGAGUAUUGAAAAAAAAUAACAUUCUUUACGAAUACGAAAGAAUAAUACCCCUUACCUUAAUAGAAGACUGGAUACUGCAAUAGUGAAGUAGCAAAAUACUCUUCUUCUUUCUCUCUAUAGUUGCUCUUGUGAGUCUUAGUGAAUUGGUGAGAAUGAAAGAAGAAAUGAGCUUCUAUUUAUAGGAAAACAUAGUUUCGAUAAUUACACGUUUAGGGGCUCGAAUUAUUAUAAUUUAGUACCUUCAUCUUUGCCUCUAUUUUUAAUUUAGUCCUUCAAGUAUUAUCAAUCUUGCACAACCUCCCCUAAUAGUACAUGCAUGUGAACCAAUAGUUAUUUACAUGUGAACUAAUAGCAAUUAAUUGUUCAUUUAUCCGAUUAAUUACCCAUUUGGUCAAUUUAACAUCCAGAAAUCAACUGUUAUCAAAAUAAAUGUCGAUUUCCACUAACACUAAUAAUUCCAACACAAUGAAAAUAUUUUUAACAACAUUUAUUCAUCAAUAAUAUAACUUACAAUAUUAACAACCAAAUCAUUCUCAGAAAAGAGGGAGCUUUUCGAUAAGGAUUUCUCCCUAUUGGCGCACAAUUAGGUGACCAAAUCCCUUUUCCUCGACAGAACUUUCUAGACAUUGUCAAUAAUGCAAAUAAUAAUAUGAAUAACUUUGUCGUCUCAAUUAUUGAUUUAAUAAUAUAAAAUAUUAUGCAAAUAAAACUGUGACAAUAAUUGAAUAAAUAAUGUGAGAUACUAUGCAGCAGUUACUGUAGCAAUAAUUGAGUAUAACUGAGUGACUUCUCACGUAAGCAUCAAUAGUCAAAGAUACUAUACAAUACCGUGUGCUACUAUGCAACCACGCGUAUUACUGUAUUUUUACCACCGGGUAUUUCAACAGCUUAACGGUAAAACUUUUACCAUUAUUUCUAUCAUUUUCUAACUCCGACAGUAAUUUCGUUGUGGGAUCCACCAAUGAUUCUGUCGUCGUACGAAUAUUCCCUGAUAAAACGAAUAUUUCCCGAGCAAACGAAUAUUUUAUGACAACUUGCUUACUUUGCAAAAUUUAUAAAUAUUACCCACAACUAUAACAUUAUAUCAAAUCUACACCAUAAUAAAAAAAUAUUUUGAGAAAAUUAAAUCUUUAUUCAUAAAAGUUGGGGUCUUACAACCUCCCCUUCUUAUGAAAUUUCGUCCUUGAAAUUGGUGUACAUACCUGGUAUGUCGAAGAGGUGAGGGUACCUCGUUUUCAUUUCAGAUUCAAACUCUUGAGGUAUAACCUUUUGAGCGUAGAAUAUAUUCCUUCUUAUCCAAGAUUUUAACAAGUAUCUCUUCAUAUGUUAAAUCUUCCGGUAUCUCAUUUGGUUAUAAUUCAAUAAUGUGGUUUGGGUCGUCCACAUAUUUACGUAACAUUGAUACGUAAAAAAUGUUAUGAACACGCGACAUACUUAGCAGUAAGGCGAGUCUAUAGGCCAUAGUUCCUACUCGAUCGAGGAUUUCAAAUGGGCCAAUUAAAUUGAGGGUUGAGAUUUCCUCUCUUCGUUGAUUCUUGCUUCUAGAAUAACGCCUUCUUGCACUUUCUUCUUCACAUUCAUCAACUUUGAGUCUGUAGCUUGAGCGGUUUUAACUUUAUCGAUUAAAGUCGGUUCUAAUAGUAUAUUCGCUAUCAUUACGUAGGUUCUUGGAGUCUUUAACUCUAUUUCCAUCUUUUGUAAGUCGUACGAAAUGGGUCUUUGUGUUAACAACAUCGCACUCGUAAACGCAUACGAUCUUCUACUCAACGUGUCAGCUACCACGUUCGCUUUUUUAGGAUGGUAUUGAAUGGUAUAGUCGUAAUAUUUCAAAAACUUGAGCCAACGUCUUUGGCGCAUGUUACGUUUGUUUUGGGUGAAGAAAUAUUUGAGGGUUUUGUAUCGGGUUCACGGUCGAUACAAAAUUCGAUUUCACGCUCUCAGGGUAGGCUAGGAAGUUCUUCGGGAAAUACAUCAAGAAAUUUAUUAAUGAUAGAAAUAUCAUUCAAAACUGUGACUCUCAUCCAAGACUUGGAUAGCACCUGACAUUGAUACUUAUCAACUUGCCACCGUUAUUCACGGCGUCCUCUAUAGAAAGUUUGGCUUCGGUGCAUUCCACAUAAGGAAGUCACCAGAUAAAGGUUCAGGGCUCUUUACUUAUGGCUUGAUAUGACAGUGAUUAACUUUAGUGGUUUGGUUACUUAAAUUCGCAUAACAGGUUGGUUAGGAAUUUGAAAGCUAACAACCUUACGAAAAUAAUCAAUUUUAGCAUGAUGAGUAGUUAAACAGUUGAUUCCUAAAAUCACAUCAAAUGCAAGUAUUUUCAAAGAGAUACGAUCAACAGGUAACGUGAGGGUGCCGAUUUGAAUCAAACAAGACUUAUAAACAGUGGAGGUAACGAAGGUUUCUCAUAACGGAGUUUCAACAGAUAAGUCAAAGUCUAAUUUCUUCGGAGUUAACUUAAACGUUUAGCGCAAGUAGGAGAAAUAAAAGAGUGGGUAGAACCGGUAUCAAAUAAGGUAUAGAUUUCACAAGAGUUUAUGAUUAACUUACCCGUGAUAACUUCAUUCAGAUUCCUCGACAAAUGCACUCACUUAAACUAUCGCACAACUUUGACUUGUCUAGGACAGCCUUUGGUGUCACCAUCCCAGCUGGACUUGACUUCACUACACGACAAAAUCGGGCUAGGUGAACUUCUCUUUCACAAUUAAAACACGCUUUGGGUUGCUGCGUACAGUUUGGACGAAUGUGUCCCUCCUCUCCGCAUCUGUAGCAUACGACCAGUGGAUCCUAUCCAUCACCUCCAACUCUAACUGAGUAAGGAGAGCUUCCUUCUCUGUCCUUUCGCUCAACUCUCUCUGCUCCAUCUCUUCCAACUUCCCUGCCAGCUCUACAUUCCUAGCCACCGACUUAUGAAACAAAGUCCCCAUCUGGAUCCCUACCUCCUUACGGUGAACAAUCUACACCUCCAUUUCCUGCAUCACUAACUUUCUCUGAUGGUCCUCGUCCCUCAGUUUCUGGAACUCAGACUCUCUUUCCCUAGCCUCAGCCUCUAACUCCUCAACUCUGCAUCCUAACUCCAACAUUUGCUCCUCAUACUCCCCCAUCAUCUGAUCCUCGAAAGUAGCCUCGUCAGAGCCUCCUCUGGAUCAGACUCCUCGGGUAAUGGCUUUAUCUCCUCCUCCUCGUCAUCAUCAUCGAUAGGGGCCACUGCCAAUAUAGGCUCCGCUAUCAAUGGCGCCUUAAAUACCAUGUGUAUGUCACGUGGCUCCUCCCCUACUACUCGGCUUGGUCCUCCCAUGUCAGUCAUCCUAUAACCACCAACAUAAGACAAAAUAAACAACUCCUCCAUUAGAAUGUUAAAUAAACAUAAGUUCAUCGUACCUAAUGAAGUUAUAUUCCAUAACACACUAAGUCCCUCUCUAGGAAAACUCUAUAUGAGUUUCAUCCCUCUCUAUCUUCUAAGUUCUCCUAAGUUAUAAUCUAAGGACUCUCGUUCCUAAGGUUUAUAACUACAACUCUGAUACCAACCUGUGACGCCCCCAAAUUCAGACCACACUUGUCUCAAAUUUGGUUGUCACGUGCUAGCUCUAAUAACAAAUCAAAAUCUCACACAACGAAAUAAUAGAAUAAAUUACAUUGUUAUAACAUAAUUAUUUUUGUCCCAAAGUCUCGCAACCAUUACUACUACAAUACAACUUAAAUUAAACAUAGCUUAAUAUAAAUAAGUUCUUCUACAACAGAAUAAUAGUACAUUCCUAGUAUUAUGAAACUAACUACUCCAAAGCCUUUUCUUUACCCUUGUCCUUGCCAGAGGUUUCACCACGUUCUGCCUUAACUGAAAGUUUUAAGGAAAGCAAGGAUGAGCAACAAUUUUGCCCAGCAAGUAAUAUAGCAAUAAGGGUGUUCAAUGUAGUUUUAUAUUUCUCAAGGGUACAACAAUAAUAAUAGUUCAAAGAUAGAAAGAAGUAUAAAUGAUUAUCAACAAUAGUCGCUAUGGAUAGAAAUUAUCAAUAAUAUUCAACGAUUAAUCAAUUCAAGAUUUCAAAGUAAUGAAUACUGAGCAGUCACUAAGGACUAUGAACUUCUCCUAGAAUUAACAGUAAUAAACUGACAAUUCUACAAAACGAGUAUAGCAGGUGAUCAGCCUAAAGUACCCUAUGUCAUGCAUAACAUUUAAUCUUUUCAUGUGCGCACGUCGGUUUCCCGACAAUUAUAUAAUUCCCUUACCAAGAGUGUUGUUCAUCUCAGUUAUAAGAGUCCGCACCAAGUUAAUUUGGUUUGGAUAGCUUUUGAUCAAAUAUCAAUAGUCUAACCGAAGCAAAGGCUUAGACAUCUUUUUUUUUUCAAGCAUAUACAUGAACAAUUAUCGUUCGAAAUCAAGGUUUGAAAAUAAUUUCAUUUCUAAACUACAAAGUAUUAAGUCAUGAUAUAUGAAUUAUACUUUCAAAGAUUUACUUGUACGAUCAAUAAUAACACAAGUUCAAAUAAUGAUCAAUAAAGAGUAGGGUUUGAGUACUUACAUUCAAUAUAUGAAUCAAAUAAAAUGUGAGAACUUGCACAAAUCCAAAUUUGUGUAAGUUAGGAAAAUUGCUCAAUAAAAUAGAGAGUUCAGAUACUUGCCUUACGCGUGGUUUACCAAAGUAAAGCUUAACACCCUUCCAAAGAAUUAUAAUAUCCUAUUCAUGUAUAAUCACAUUAGUUAUACAAGUUUAAUCUGUACACCUGUUAUCUUAACUUACUAUGAUACACCAUUAUAAUUUAUCGGUGCCAAACAUAUAUUGCUAGUCUUCUCUUAGUCAUAUGAUCUCAUACGUAAAUCAUCACAUAACACUAAAAUCAGUUUCUAAGAUGUUAUGUCAUUUAGAGAACAGAGUUUGUCAUCGCAUUUUGACUUAAGGGUGUAGUUAUAGUAUUCUUCUAUUAUCAUACUUAUUCACACAUUUAUACUAUACUGAACAUGUACUACUGAUUAAAGUAAGAAUAUAGACAUGCAUCAACCCUCAGAUCAACAAUAGAAAUCUGAUCCUACUGCAGACUGGCGCGGCCGCGCUUGGUUUGUACUAAGGAGUGGCGCAACCGUGCUGCUCCUGGUGCAAACCAAGACAUGGCUGCUUCUGCAGAAGGUCAGUGUACACCCGUCUUGCAUAUAGAUGAAUAAUCAUGCAAAAUACACAUGUUAGUAUGUGAAUUGCUAAGUUUGACCUUAUAUCCUAACAUUAACAUAGGUAUCAUCUAUUCUCAUUUAAUCAAGACUUUAAGUGUUCAAUUCAUAAUUUUCUUACGUUUGAUCGUUAAACACAUGCUAUAUGAUCCAUAGGUCUCAACUACACAUGCUUUCAUUAGAUUAGUCAUGUAUGUCAAAUGCUAGAAUACUUGUAAUGUAGUUAUUGACAACACUAGUUUUCAAUGUUUCUUGUGAAAAUCUCAUGUUAAGCCACCAAGUAUAGCAAAGUCACUUCAUUCACUAUACAUCAUGCUCUCACAUAUACAUAUUAGAACAUAAUAACAUGCUCACAAGUUCCUAUAUAGUUUAUCAAGUUUGUAUUUGAAACUUAAGGUCUCCAUUAGUAAAACUUAUUUAAGUAUGUAAGAGAAAUCCACAUUGUCUAAAUCAUGCUUUCAUACUCAUUUGUGCACGUACUCAAGUUAUUUACAUAGGCUAGAAAGAUCAGAAUUUGAAGGCAUAAUGUCCAUCGUGCUUUGUUUUGCUAAACUUCAAGUUCUCAAGUUCUCCUUUAUAAAAUCCUUUAAAAUCAAACUAGCAAAACUUAUUAUACAUGAAGCAAACUUAUGCCUUAUGUUAGACUUGUUUACGUAUAUAUCUAGGUUAUCUACAUAUGUUCACAAGAUCAGAAAGUGUAUUACUCCAUGUUCACAAAUUCUAGUUUUCCAAAUCUUUAAAUUUUCUUUGAAUGUUUGUACUAAAACAACUAACAUGGCUUCUAUGUACCUAGCAAUCUCAGUUCACAAGUUAAGGUUGUUUAUGUGCAUAUCCUAACCAAAGUAGCAUGCUCAUCAUCAUAUUGGACCAUUAAAGCAGUAUUUGAGAAAGACACCCCGCGCGGCCGCACGAUAUUAAGCAAUAGAAGUGGCGCGGCCGCGCCACUUCGUUCAAAAACAAAAAUAAAUGGCUCUGUUUCAGCAGAACCUUAGCAUAUGUAUAGCCCAUUCUAAAACCAGACCAACUGCAUUACUUCAAAGCAUACAUAUCAACUCAGACAACACAAUGACAUGCUAAUUCAUACUAAUUUAACAGAGAAAUCAUGUAAUUGCUAAGAAUUUGACAAAACUUAACUAAGGGCAAAAACAAAAGUUAUUCCUCCUUGAAGCUUAAUUGAACUCCCUCAGUUCUCUGAUUAUACUCCUUCAAUUUCUCAGCAACUCAACUCUCUAAUGCAACUUAUCAGAUAAUUUCAAGUAACAGAGACUGAGAAGAGGAUGGCACUAUAAAUAGAGAAUUGAUUGCCCAGUUCAUGGCCUUGCACCAUGGUUUGAUUAAAAGGAAAUUGGGAUGAAACAAUGGUUAUAUAGAAGUCGGCCAACUGCCCACCUUGUAGCCAUCAUCACAGCUCUCUAGCAUCAUCAUCCUCCUUUUGGUUUUUGCUGAGUUUUACGCAAUAGUAGGGGAAUAGGCCAUUAGCCUAAUACUCGGCUAAUGACUGAGACUAUCAAAUUGGGACAAGGCUUUAAAUCUCUGUAACUAUAUUACAUAAGGCUUAGUUUGGCUCUUUGAACUCCAAGAAUGUAAUUUCAAUGUGUUAAUGCUACUACAUAAUAGAAAGUUAUAAAUUAUUUAUGUAUCCACAUCAUAUAAUCCAUGUUCAUUAGUCCAGUCCAAUUAAUUUUUAUAACAUGUAUGGACUCAAUUUAAUUGGUCACUAAUAAUUCCAUAUCAUCAUAAAACUUAAUUAUUUCAAUUAGACUUACUUAUUGAAAUAACUUGUAAUUUUUUUGAUAUAGUACAACUUUAAUGAUCCCACACAUACUUAUUGUCACAUAAGCAAUUAUUUGUGAUACUUCUAAUUUCUUCCACUUUACUAUAUAGUUUCUAUAUAUUAUAUAGUUAUACUAAAGUGUCACAAUACACUUUUUUUUUAAUGUAGGAACUAGAUGUUAACACAUAUCUCACACAUCAAUUAAAUAGAUAAUACAUACUCUAAUUAUGUAAUGUAAUUUAUUAUUCACAAUAAUAAUUAAUUAAUAAUAUAAUAUUAAUUAAUUAAUUCACUUAAAUCCCCAUUCUCAUGCCACACAAAGCAUCUUACAGUUCUCAUCAUCAAUUCCAUAUUUUCUCAAUUCUUAUAAAUUCAAUUUAAAUUAGUUGAAUUAUUCAUUUCACAAAAAAUCAAUAUUUAUAUUCCAAUAAACAUUACUUUUUCUCAUUUAAUCAAAAUAAUAUUUAUUAAUAAAAUUCACGGUUCUUACAUUAUUGCCUUCCUGAUGCACGUUGAUCGUUGGUGACUCAACGGUCUCAUGUGCUUCAUUGUUUAUCUCAGCAUUUUCAGAUGUCAUUUUCAAACACUACCACAAAACAAAGGUUAAUUGAUAUGCCAUAUAUUAUCCCUAUAUUCUGACCGACCAAUUAUAUAACAAAUAAAAUUAGGUAGGUCAUACUAGCGAAGGAAUUACCCGUCUCUCCCCUCAUAGUUCUAGUCUCACAUCUCAGCUAGGGAUCAUAUCCCUAAGCUUUGAUACCAACUGUGACGCCCCCAAAAUAGGUAUACAUUAACCAUUCUGAGUCGCCAAAUACAUGGUACAUAACUCAAAUGCAAACUUAAUUAUACAACAGUUGUGUAAAAUACGACGAAACAUAGCUGAGAGUUUUAACACGAAUAUUAUCUUCUAGACAGUAUCCAAACUCAAAUGGAGUCCUCAUUACAAUUAUUAUCACACUAUUUCACAGAAUAGUGAGGACUACUACAGCCACCAUCUGGACCGUCACUCCAUUCCCUGACUAGUCCCGACUACGUUCUCAUUUCCUGAAGAGAACAGUGAAAGAAAAGGGUGAGCUCAACUAGCCCAGUAAGAAAUAUUAUGACUAAGCUAAUGCAAGAUAAAUUAUUGUUAGCCUUCAACAAUGUUAAACUGUUAGAAUAUAAUAAACAACAAGUUUAACUGCAUUGGAACAAAUAAUUCAUUAAAAGAGUCAAGUAAAGCAUGAUAUCUUUAUUAUUUAAAAAGUUUAUCAUAAAUUUUAUCGCUGAGACUCAGCUCAAUAAAUAAUCCACAUCACUGAAUUAUCCUUGCACUACGGGCUAAUGAUAUUCAUUAGUAUCACGUCCACGAAUUAUUCAUGCACUAUGGGCCAAGGAUAUUCGUGUAAUCACCAAUGGUCAUGAUCAUGCCAAACAACAAUUCAUCUUUGCACCCUUAGCCGAAAAGAACCCAUGGUCAUGAUCAUACCAACAACUGUCACUGAGACUCAGCUCAAUAAAUAAUCUACAUCACUUGUAACAUUACAAGUCAUGAUUAUACUGAAUAAUCCCUGGUCAUAAUCAUAUCAAUCAACAGUCCAUCUAUGCACUACAGGCCAAAGAUGACUUUCAUCACAAUAUAAGCAUGAGGAUGAUGACAAUGAUAUAAAAAUUCAAUCAAACGAGAUCAAGGAUAAAUAUUAAAGACUUUAAAUUUAUCCAGAGAUUAAAAAUGUCCAAAUUGUCAACAUGAUACUGCUUUGUGGAGUAAAAUUCAAGAAUAAUAGUCCCGUAUCAAAAAUAAUUUGGACAGAAAAGAAUCAAUUUUUUGUUAUGAAUAGUACCCCAGGUGAAUAGUACCCCAUGAAUAGUACUUCGUGAAUAGUACCCCAUGAAUAGUACCCCGAGUGAAUAGUACCCGAGUAAAUAGUACCCCGAAUGAAUAGUACCCCGAGUGAAUAGUACCCCGACAUAAAUAGUAUGUCGUCAUUUAAUAAGAAAGUUCAGAUCAUUAGUGGAAACACUAGAUGAAGCACAAACUAUUAAGAAUAUUCCACUAAUUUUAAGGGUUUUCACCAUUUAAUAAUAAGGUUAUGGAAACAAAUAAAAAAUUUGUACCAUAAAUAGAGAAAUAUGAAAGAAGAUGAUAUCCCUUGAUGAGUACAAAAAAAAUGACAUCUCAUACGAGUAUGAAAGAAUAUACGAAAUUGCAAAUGUAUUUUCACCCGUUAUGCGGUAAUUCGCUUAGACAGACUAGUUCCACAAUUUAAUAAAGAAUAAUUACGAAGGGUCAUUCACCAUGCAUGCGGUAGUCCGCGUAGACAGGUUACUCCCACAGAUUAAUAAAAAAUGAAUACAAAGGGUCAUUCACCAUGCAUGUGGUAGUCUGCGUAGACAGGUUACUCCCGUAGAUUAAUAAAGAAUGAAUACGAAGGGUCAUUCACCAUGUAUGCGGUAGUCCGCGCAGACAGGUUACUCCCGCAGAUUAAUAAAGAAUAGAAUGACAACCCUUAUGAGUAUUGAAAGAAAAUAACAUUCUUUACGAAUACGAAAGAAUAAUACCCCUUACCUUAGUAGAAGAUUGGAUACUGCAAUAGUGAAGUAACAGAAUACUCUUCUUCUUUCUCUCUAUAGUUUUUCUCUCUAUAGUUGCUCUUGUGGAUCUUAGUGAAUUGGUGAGAAUGAAAGAAGAAAUAAGCUUCUAUUUAUAGGAAAACAUAAUUUCGAUAAUUGCCCAUAUAGAGGGCUCGAAUUAUUACAGUUUAGUACCUUCAUCUUUGCCUCCAUUUUUAAUUUAGUCCUUCAAGUAUUAUCAAUCUUGCACAAUCUCCCCUAAUAGUACAUGCAUGUGAACCAAUAGUUCCAUGCAUGUGAACCAAUAGUUAUUUACAUGUGAACUAAUAGCAAUUAAUUGCUCAUUUAUCCGAUUAAUUACCUGUUUGGUCAAUUUAACAUCCAUAAAUCAAUUAUUAUCGAAAUAAAUGUCGAUUUCACUAACACUAAUAAUCCCAACACAAUGGAAAUAUUUUUAACAACAUUUAUUCAUCAAUAAUAUAACUUGUAAUAUUAAACAACCAGAUUAUUCCCAGGAAAGAGGGGGCUUUCCGAUAAGAAUUUAUCCCUAUUGGCGCACAAUUAGGUGACCAAACCCCUUUCAUCGACAGAACUUUCUAGACAUUGUCAAUAAUGCAAAUAAUAAUAUGAAUAACUUUGUCGUCUCAAUUAUUGAUUUAAUAAUAUAAAAUAUUGUGCAGAUAAAACUGUGACAAUAAUUGAAUUAAUAAUGUGAGAUACUAUGCAGCAAUUACUGUAGCAAUAAUUAAGUAUAAUUGAGUGACUUCUCACGUAAGCAUCAAUAAUCAAAGAUAUUGUACAAUACCGUGUGAUACUAUGCAACCACGCGUAUUACUGUACUUUUACCACCGGGUAUUUCAACAACUUAACUGUAAAACUUUUUCCAUUAUUUUUAUAAAAAGUUAUUUCUGUCGUUUUCUAACUAACAAUAAUUUCGUUGUGGGGUCCACCAAUGAUUAUGCCGUCGUACGAAUAUUCUGUGAUAAAACGAAUAUUCCAUGACCAAACGAAUAUUUUAUGACAACUUGCUUACUUUGCAAAAUUUGUAAAUAUUACCCACAACUAUAAAAUUAUAUCAAAUCCACACCAUAAUAAAAAAAAUAUUUCAAGAAAAUUAAAUCUUUAUUCAUAAAAGUUGGGGUCUUACACACAUAAUCUUGUCAUGUAUUCUAGGAUUAAGCAUAUAGAAAUAAGAUAUCAUUUUAUUAGGGAUCAUGUCCAAAAUGGAACUAUAUCUUUACAAUACAUCCCUACUGAAAAUCAACUUGCUGAUGUCUUUACAAAACCUUUAGAUGAAUCCAGAUUUAAUAAAUUGAUAAGUGAGUUAGGUAUGCUAAAUCUACAACCAUAAACUCUAUGCUCUUGUUUGUGCUAACCAUGCAAAUAAAAAGGCUAUAUUAAAAUCGUAGAGAUGACUACAGAGAAACCAUGAUCGUAGAGCAGUCUUGACGUGACAGAGAAGCAUCCUGUGAUGACAUCAUUCCUAUCAAAUCCAAGCAACCCUUCUGAUAAGCACCUUAGAGACAAACUUGACCCUUAGUUCAGUCUAAGAUGUUGGCCCUUCCUGAGCUACCCUAACCCAGACGGAAUGCUAAGGCUCAUCAUAGGGACCAGGACAAAUAAUGAUCAUAUAGAAUAAUCAGUAGUGAACUCAACAAUCGUAGAGCAGCUUCGACAAUCGUAGUCUUUCUAAAUGAUACACUAGCUCAGGGGGAGCUGAGGGCAUAUCAGUAUUUUCCACAUUAUUUAAAAUUGUGGAGCCCGACAGAACUCGACACGUGCCCCCACUAUGCAGAUCAUGUGGAGGGAAGUUACAAAUAUAGUUUGAAAAGGCUUUUUGAAAAUUCACCUCAGAAUUUUAAAAUCUCAUUCCUCUCUCUUUCUCUAUCAACAGAAACCCCAACUUUCAGAACGAUCAACCAACCUCCGUUCAAGAAAAUCAAUGGAUGCUUCCAAUGUUAUAUCUGGUUACCAACUCUAGUUCAACGAAUUCAAGACAGCUGACCCUCAGUUCCACAAGAUUCUAUCUCUUCUGAAGAAAGCUGGUCUUGAAGAAGCUCUGAGAACCAGCACAAGGAUCUACCCGAAGCUGGUGAAAAAGUUCUACAGCAAUGGAGUCUUUGAGGACGACAUUAUCACUACAAGGGUUAAAGGGGAACAAAUUAAACUCAAAGCUGAAGAUAUAAACCUAGCCCUAGGUUUCAAAUUAAAGGGACUCGUAUCAAUGGAUGUCAUCGACUUCCAUGAAGGUCUGAAGAAGAUACAUCACACGAAGUUUCAGAAUGUCAAGGGGUACAAGAAGAAAGAGUUUCCCCAGAAGUAUGGAUUUCUGGCUGACAUUGUUGGGAAGUGCAUAUGUUGUAAAAGCUCUGGCCACGACUCUGUAAAUGAAGUUCAACUAAAGCUCAUGAUAACAAUCUGCUUCAGAAUUCAACUCAACUAUGGGGCUCUGCUCAUAGAUUGGAUCGGGAAGUUGAUACUCAGCUCAAAGAAAUCAAAGAGCUCUGUGAAAAUGCUCUAUGGGAGGUACAUAAGCAUAAUCCUGCAAUCUACUUUGGGUGGAAAAAUUGGGGACAACAAAGGGGAACCCAUCAACCCCAACAGAAGAAUGACCCAACAGCUAUUUCAAAACUAGAAAAAAAAACCCUGCAGAAAAUGUAAGAAUGAUGUCUGAAUUCAGUGAAAGGACUAGUGAGGAAAAGGUAUCUGGGCUACCAGGAAACAUGUCUGUUGUGAAAGAAGAUGAAGAAUAAGAAGAAAUUAAUCAAGAGGAACGCAUCGCUUUGAUCAGAAAAUCAAGGGUAAGAGGAAAAUGAAAGUUCAAACAACAGAAGAGCCUCAAGGCUCAACCACUGAUGCGCCCCAAGAGAGUUUGGGCACUGAAAUUCUAAAGGAAAUAAAGAGGAAGGAGUAGCAGUCUGAAGAGGAAGAAGACAGAGCCACCAUCUCUCAGUUGCUUAAGAUAGGAAAACACAGCCACAAAAUAAAGAAGUCUUCACUCUCUUUAAUCGUAGAGUCACUACCGAUCAUAAAUUCCAGACUUACCAUCACUCUAAAAGUGGAUACUACAACAGUAUUUCAGCCUGAACCAACUAUCAUAGCUGAAGUUGAAGAAAGCACCGAGGUUGAAGCUAAGCCCAGAAAGACAAGGAGAAAGCUUGUCAAUAAAUAUGUUCUUGAAAAUGAGAAAGCCUUGAAGGAAGAAGAAAGAAAAAUAGCUGCAAAAAAGGAGCUUCCUGAAAUUCCUGCACUAGAAAAUGCUCUAACUGAGGGGGAGCUGCUUGAAGAACAAAUGAAUGAUCAGAUUGAGGGGAAGACUCUCGAAGUUCCUGUGCAAGAAAGUACUACAGAUGAGGGGGAGAUACAAGAAGAUAUAGAAAUCGAAGGUGUGAAACCUAUGGAGGAAGAAAAGGCUGAAGAUCAGACAAGAAAUGAGGAGAUAUUUGAAGUGGUGGAAAUUUUAAAUGAAGAAAAUGAAGAUCGGGAAAAAGAAGAGGAUGAUGAAGUUGAGAUUAUAGUAGUGGGCUGCGAUGGAUAGAUGAGAGCAAACUACAAUCAGUUGUUCUCUUACUUACCAAUGAUGCCCUAUCACAGAGCCCAAAUUCUCAACUCCUUGGAUCACAUAUUUUAGACUUUCAAAGCCUAUCCAGCAAUCUCAAUGCUAGCUCGUGGAUUCCCAGGCAACCUCACGUUUGCUCAGAAGCUGAUUACUAAUCAUCCUUCUUCAGAAACUGGAUGUGAGGUAUAAUCAAUUCCCAUCUCUUUCAGAGUUAAUCACUGUCCUCCAUAAAAUUUCAACCAAUUCUACGAAUUGCCAAGAUGGUUGGAAGUGAUUCUUCACUCACUAAACCAAUUUCCAGCUACAGAGUCCCAACAUUCUGUAAAAUAUACCCAACUUUAUAUUGAUACAAUCUCCCACCAUUACUCACUCUACGAAUAUCAAUUCUACUCAGAUCUUAGAGUCACCCACUCAACCAGUGCCAAAAGCACCUCCUCCCAAAACCCAAACCCCAAUACAUGAACCUCCUUCGGAAAUUCCUUCCUCCUCAACCAACAACUACUUUGAUCUUGCUCUUGCUCUCUCAAACCUGCAAAACCAAAAUACAAGAGCCUCUCCUCCAAGCACCCAACAAAUACUUGAGCUUCUCUCAGAUCUUCCCACAAAAUCUGAGUUGUCCAAUGCAUCACUGAAAGUGACUACAGAUAUUCAAGAAAAUCUUGAAUCUCAUUCUCUACUUGUUCAUACAAGGCUGAACCACUUGAUAGAUACUGCCAACACUCUUCCUCACAAUCUAAGUUCUGAGCUCACAAAUAAGCUUAGGGAGAUCAUCAAGGAAAUGAUCUACAAGAUUAAUGAACGGGAUCAAAUUCACUUUCAGUCUGCCCGGAAGCUCAAGGAAGUAGUUAUCCUUCUGCAGAAGACUCAGGAAACUCAAAACAAACUUGUUAUGAAAAGUCUCUCAAGCCUGCGAUCUUCCAUUAAAGAAUUCAAAGAUUACUCUAUGAAUCAGAUAUAACAAACCAACACUGUCUUGGCCAUUCUACAAAAGCACAACGCUUAAACUGACUCUCUGGUUAGAGAAAACCGUGAAGACAUUGCUCAAUCCAGGAAUUAGCUCCACGAACUUGUCCAAUGUAUGAAUCGUCUGUCUGCAGACAUUCGAACCCUUGAUGCUGACAUAAAGGGGGAGAAUAAAAGGGAAGAAGAAAGAAAAAGGAAACUCAUUGCUCAAUCUUCAAGGAGCCCUCCCUCAAGACAGCCUCACUAUCAGACUCCACGACCUGAAUAGUAGCAGCGUCAGCCAAUUCUCAUGGAGCAACCGCUAAGGAGUCGAGGGUCAUCUCCUAGCUCACAAGGGGUAACCACUACUGGCUUGAACAUGCCGAUUAGAGAUCCUGCCUUUAUGAAUAGACAUGAUCAUGGAGAAAGGCUAAGUCAAAGCGAGCUGAAAGAUAUUGCAUGGAGAGAUGAAGCCAGCAGGAGAAGGAGAGCUGCAGAGCAUGCCAAUCCUCCAAGAAGUAAAAGGCAGAAGAAAUAGAGAUAAGUUGAAAUUUAUUUCUUAUGGAUGUAACUAUGCUUUAUUGUAAUAUCUGUCUCUACAAACAUCAAUAAAUUCAUACUUAUUCUCUAGAGAUUUCAAUUGCUCACUGAAACACUAAGUCCUAUUUACUUUAUAGCUACUACAUCUAGAAAUUGAUGAUUAUGAUACAAAUCUCCUUGGUUAUGUCAACAUCAAAUAUGGGGAGAUUGUUGGGUAUUGCAUAUUUAAAUUUGAUGUUGAAAGUAAAUAGUCAUGCUUAUAUGUAAAGUCCUUCAAAGAAUAUAUGUACAAGGACUUAGAUGAUAGAUCAAAACUAUUAGGUUGAUCUGUGCUUUAUGUUUAUCAUUCUGUAAAUGAAUGUAUAGAAGAAAUGAUCAAGGCUAUUAGGAUAAUCUAUUUUGAGAUAUAAUAGAUAGGCAUUAAUAGAAUCGUAGUCUGUCUUCUUUGGAGGGCCUCUCCUAGUAUCGUAGAGUGGUCCAAACGUCUGCCGAGCCAAAUCAAGAAUCAUAGUCUGUUCCCGGAACCGUAAAGUCUACAAAUCAAGUAAGCAAAGAUCGUAGUCUACCAUUGAUUAAGAGAAAUCAUAGUAUUCUACUCUAUCAGUCCAUAUCAAGCACGAAUGUGACAAGACACCAUGAUCAUGAUCGUAGUUCAUCAUCUGUCUGCAUCAGAAGCAUCGAGCUUUGUCCAUUUGUUGAAGAAUAAAUUAUAACAAAAGUGGAAUGGGUUAUAGACGUUGAGACUCUUAGGAAUCCCAAUGAACCAACACUCAUCCUUAGUAUAUAACAAAGAAACGUAUUGAAGAAGCUAAAGAAAGUACUACAUGUUAGCUGAAAACACCUUUUCAGGUGUUAGGUGAGAUAGCAGUCUGUUGUGUCAGUGGGCCAGACGGCUGAAUAGAAGAUUUCCAGGAAGUCACCAUCAGUGUUCAGAAAUGUCAAAUACAAUUAAUGCUUCAACGGAUGCCUUCAAACAGACAUAUUUCAAAGGAACCUUAUAUACAAAUCAGACGCAGAUGCAAGAGAGUAAGCAAGCACACAACGAAAAGCUGAAGAACACUUAACGCUCAACUCUAUGAUCAAGAAAGAAAGCUUGCUUAGUUACUCAGUUCUUUCGAACAUAUGCUUAACAACAACUGAGUAGCACAACCCAAAGAACUCAACUCUCAUCAAGUGUAUUCCAAGUCUACUGGACUUGAAGAGUACUAAGAAGUUCUAAGACUGCUGGUCUUGAAGGAGUUUAUGAGAUUCAAAGAUUGUAAAGACAUCCUUAGUGGAUUUCAUACUCGAGGAGUAGAAGAAUGGAUUGGGAGUCUUGAGUGCUCUAAACCACUUAAAUUCUCUGUGUCUUUUAUAUUCUUGCUUUAACUGCUACUGUUAUAACUGCUUAUCAACCAUUAACUUAGUUUAUCUUAAAGGGGAACAAACAAAUCAUAUAUUCCGCUGUGAUUAAUUUAUUAACAAAUCUAACAAAGUAUUUUGAAAAAGAAAUUUAAAAUAUCUAUUCAACCCCCCUUCUAGAUAACUAUUGUGCCUCUAGGAACUAACAGGUUCAUUGUUGAUAUUUGCAAGCAUGAAAAGCUUUUUACACCAAAGGUAUUACGAAAAGUAGAAUUUUUUCCUUUUGUGCUUUUGACUGAAUGGUAUAUAGUGUUAGUACUACUUAUCUUAUUAGUUUUUUUUUACACUUAGGUGUUUAAACUGAGUAAACAUGGAUGCACCACUGCACUUGACUCUGCUACUUUAAGGUAAUAAUAUCUUAUCAUUCUACGAAUUUUUAAAUUUAAUAUUUGAUAUAACUGCAAAAAUAGAGAAAAAGAAGGGUGGAUGUAAAAGAGUUAUUGGAUUUUGAAUUUGGGAGUUGGAGAUUUAGAGAUAGAGAGAGAAGGGAGGGUAAGUCUAGGUCUAGAUCAUAGUUUAUUGUUUUCAUAGGUUAUAUAUAUAUAUAUUUAUUAUAAAUAUCUACAUAUGUGUAUUUAUAUACAAUAAGAGUAGCUUGACUAUACUAAUUAAGAGUAACAUAAAUUAUAAACAAUAAAAAUCAAAUUAUUAGUACAAAAAAGUCCAUCAAUGCACAGUAGUUGUUGAUCCAAAAAGACACAACAUAAAAUAACAGUUUCUUUCAAGCAUUCAAAAAAGUUACAGUAUAAAGAAACAUGUUAUUUCAAGCAUUCCAAAAAGCAACAACAAAAAGUAACAAGUAUUUUCAAGCAUUCCAAACAGCAUAAAGUAAUAGGUAUUUUCAAGUAUUCCAAAGAUCAACUUCAUAAAGUAACAUGUGAUUGCACUACAACAUAACAAAUGUUAUUAUUUCUAUUAUGGAUUCGUUUAUGGUUGUGUAUGUGUAUGGUUGCACUACAUAUGAACAAAGUAUGGUUCAAUACAUUAUUGGUUUGAAAUAAAACAAUUAUUUUUAUUGGUUCAACACAAUUGUGUUGUGUUAAUUGUGGUUACUAAUCAACCCAUAAUCACUACUUGGUAGGAAUUGUGGAUGAGGUUUCAUGUAUCAUGUAUUUAUUUUGUUUGUCUCAAUAUGGUUGUGUUAAAUGAAGAUUUUGUAAUGUAAAAUUCACUUUUAGUGUAAGGAGCACAUUGUUCCUGGGAUGGUUAAGUGAAAAUUUUAAAAUGUAGAAUUCACUGUUAAUGUAAGUUAAUUUGAAACAUAUAUAGAUUCGAUUGGACGAAUUCGGUUCAUUGUUGAUAUUUGCAAGCAUGAAAAGCUUUCUUCACCAAAGGUAUUAUUACUAAAAGUAGAAUUUGUCCUUUUGUCCUUUUGACUGAAUGAUUUAUAGUAUUGAUGCAAACAAACUUUUUGGGAAUAAUUUUGUAGGUUAUUAUACUGACAAAUGCAAGAUUGCUCAAUUUAAAAGAAUUCAAUUGGACAUGAGGUACUACUUAUCUUAUUAGUUUUUUUUACACUCACGUGUGUUAAACUGAGUAAACAGGUUUGGAAAGAACAACACCAACUUGUACUCCAACAUGGAAGCACCAGUGCACUUGACUCUAUCACUUUAUGAUAAUAAUAUCUUAUCAUUCUAUGAAUGUUUAAAUUUAAUAUUUGAUAUAACUGCAAAAAAUAGAGAAAAAGAAUGGUGGCUGUAUGAGAGUUAUUAGAUUUUGAAUUCGGAGGUUGGAUAUUUAGAGAGAGAAAGAGAGAAGGGAGGGUAGGUCUAGGUCUAGGUCGUAGAUUAUUAUUUUUAUAGGUUCUAAAUAUAUAUUUAUAAGUAAUAUAUAUACAUAUAUAUAUAUUAUAAAUAUCUACAUAUAUGUAUUUAUAUACAAUAAGAGAGUAGUCUGACUAUACUAAUUAAGAGUAGCAUAAAUUAUAAAUAUAAACAACAAAAAUCAAAUUAAUAAUACAAAAAAGUCCAUCAGUGCACAGUAGUUGUUGAUCCAAAAAGCAACAUAAAAUAACAGUUUCUUUCAAGCAUUCAAAAAAGUAAUAGCAUAAAGCAACAUUGUGAGAUCCCGAAUUUUAUGAAAUGAAAGUAUUCAAUUUUCUUAUAAUUAUUAUUCUAUUUAGUAAAUGGUUAAAUUGAUAAAAAAUUAAAGUUAAGGGUGAUAUUUGAAUUUUUUUCAAAGUAAGCAAGUUGUCAUAAAAUAAUAGGUGAUAAAAGUAUAGUAAUACGCGUGGUUGCAUGGUAAGCACACGGUAUUGUACAAUAUUUUUGAUUAUUGAUGCUUACGUGAGAAGUCACUCAGUUUUAUUCAAUUAUUGUCACAAUAUUUUAUAUUACUAAAUCAAUAAUUGAGACGACAAAGUUAUUCAUAUUAUUAUUUGUAUUAUUGACAAUGUCUAGAAAGUUCUGUCGAAGAAAUGGGUUUGGUCACCUAAUUGCGCGCCAAUAGGGAGAAAUCCUUAUCAAAAAGCCCCCUCUUUCCUGGGAAUGAUCUAGAUGUUAAAUAUUGUGAGUUAUAAUAUUAAUGAUGAAUGUUAUUAAAAAUCGAAUUUGAGUUCAGAGUUGAAUUUGGAGAUGCGAACGUGAUAUUUGAGUUUGGGACGAUGAAAUUAGUAAAAAUAGACUAUAAACACAAAAUUUGUCGGGUUUGACUUUUUGGUCAACAGUUGACUUUUUCAAAAAAAGUUAAACUUUAAAAUUUUCAAAGAUGAAAUUGUUGAUAAAAAUAUUUCCAUUGUGUUGGGAUUAUUAGUGUUAGUGUAAAUCGUCAUUUAUUUCGAUAAUAAUUACUUUCUAGAGGUUAAAUUGACCAAUCGGGUAAUUAAUCGGAUAAAUGAGUAAUUAAUUGCUAUUAGUUCACACGCAUAUAACUAUUUGUUCACAUGAAUGGAACUAUUGAUUCACAUGCAUGUACUAUUGAUUCACAUGCAUGUACUAUUAGAGGAGGUGGUGCAAGUUUGAUAAUACUUGUAGGACUAAAUUAAAAAUGGAGGAAAAGAUGAAGGUACUAUUCUGUAAUAAUUCGAGCCCCAAAACAUGCAAUUAUUGAAACUAUAUUUUCCUAUAAAUAGAAGCUCAUUCUUCUUUCAUUCUCACCAAUUCACUAAGACUCACAAGAGCAACUAUAGUGAUAGAAACUAUAGAGAGGAAGAAGAAGUGUAUUCUGUUACUUCACUAUUGCAGUAUCCAGUCUUCUACUAAGGUAAGGGAUGUUAUUUUUUUUCAGUAUUCGUAAGAAAUAAUAUUUUAUUCCAUACUUUGUAGUAUAUGAGUAAUAUUAUUUCGUUUCGUAUUCCUAAUUCUACACUCAUUAUGUUAAAGUAUUGCUUCUAUACUCCGUGAAAUUAGUAGAAUAUCCUUGAAAUUUGCGCUUUAUCUAGUAUCGUUUCACAAAGAUAUUUUUCUAACCAUUCAUGUUAAAUUUUAAGCUUUUUAUGCCGGAGUACUGUUCACGAAAUACUAUUCACAAAAUACUAUUCACGGGAUACUAUUCACAAAGUAUUAUUUACGGGGUACUAUUCAUAAAUACUAUUCACGGGGUAUUAUUCUCGGAGUACUUUUUUUGAAGUACUAUUCUCGGGUACUAUUCACUUGGAAUACUAUUCACGACGAAAAAUUGAUUCUUUUUUGUCCAAAUUAAUUUUUGAUACAUGAAUAUUAUUCUUGAAUUUUACUCCACAAUUGGUGAUCAUGUUGACAAUUUAGAUAUUUUUAAACUCUGGAUAAAUUGAAUUAUAAAUCUUUAAUAUUUAUCCUUGAUUUCGUUUGAUUGAAUUCUUAUAUCAUUGUCAUCAUCUUUAUGCUUAUAUUGCGUUAAAAGUCAUCUUUGGCCUGUAGUACAUAGAUGGACUGUUGGUUAUUGGUUUUAUAGUUGAUAGCUUUGGCCCGUAGUGCAAAGAUGGACAGGUGUAUGACAUGAUCAUGACCACUGGUGAUACUAAUGAAUAUCCUUGGACGUAGUGCAUGGAUAAUUCGAUGAUGUGAUUGGCAGGAUCAUGACCAUUAGUUAACAGUUGAAUGUCUUUGGCCGUAGUGCACUGACAGACAAUUGAUUGGUAUGAUCAUGACCAUUGGUUUUAUAGUUGAAUAUCUUUGGCCCGUAGUGCAAAGAUAGACAACUGAUUAGUAUGAUCAUUGUUAUUGCACUUGAAUGUCUUUAGCCUUUGGGGUAAAGAUAUUGACUGAACGUUCUAUUAAGCCUUUGUGGCAAGGAGAAAUUGUGGAUGAGGUUUCAUGUAUUUAUUUUGUUUAUCUCAAUGUGGUUUUGCAGAAUGAAUAUUUUGUAAUGUAAAAUUCACUUUUAGUUUAAGGAGCACACCUGGGAUGGUUACGUGAAUUUUUUGAGAUUGGACGGAAUCGAUUCAUUGUUGAUAUUUAGAAGCAUGAAAAGCUUUUUGCACCAAAGGCAUUAUUACUAAAAGUAGAAUUUGUCAUUUUGUGCUUCUGACCGAAUGAUAUAUAGUAUUGAUGCAAACGUAACUUUUUUGGGAAUAAUUUUGUAGGUUAUUAUUUUGAUAAAGUCAAGAACACUAACUUGUACUGGAACAUGGAAGCGUCACUGCACUUGUCUCUACUACUCUAAGGUAAUAAUAUCUUAUCAUUCUAUGAAUAUUUAAAUUUAAUAUUUGAUAUAACUGUAAAAAUAGAGAAAAAGAAUGGUGGAUGUAAGAGAGUUUUUGGAUUUUGAAUUCGGAGGUUGGAGAUUUGGAGAGAUAUAGAGAGAAGGGAGGGUAGGUCUAGGUCUAGGUCG